rnacentral:misc_RNA from 1 species
GAUGAAGAACGCAGCGAAAUGCGAUAAGUAGUGUGAAUUGCAGAAUUCAGUGAAUCAUCGAAUCUUUGAACGCACAUUGCGCCCCUUGGUAUUCCAUGGGGCAUGCCUGUUCGAGCGCCAUUUGUACCUUCAAGCUUUGCUUGGUGUUGGGUGUUUGUCUCGCCUUUGCGUGUAGACUCGCCUUAAAAUAAUUGGCAGCCGGCGUAUUGAUUUCGGAGCGCAGUACAUCUCGCGCUUUGCACUCAUAACGACAGCGUCCAAAAGUACAUUUUACACUCUUGACCUCGGAUCAGGUAGGGAUACCCGCUGAACUUAAGCAUAUCAAUAAGCGGAGGA